rnacentral:rRNA from 1 species
CCUACGGGGUGCAGCAGUGGGGAAUAUUGGACAAUGGGCGAAAGCCUGAUCCAGCCAUGCCGCGUGUGUGAAGAAGGCCUUCGGGUUGUAAAGCACUUUCAGUGGGGAAGAAAGCCUUGGGGCUAAUACCCUCGAGGAAGGACAUCACCCACAGAAGAAGCACCGGCUAACUCCGUGCCAGCAGCCGCGGUAAUACGGAGGGUGCGAGCGUUAAUCGGAAUUACUGGGCGUAAAGCGCGCGUAGGCGGUCUGAUAAGCCGGUUGUGAAAGCCCCGGGCUCAACCUGGGAACGGCAUCCGGAACUGUCAGGCUAGAGUGCAGGAGAGGAAGGUAGAAUUCCCGGUGUAGCGGUGAAAUGCGUAGCGAUCGGGAGGAAUACCAGUGGCGAAGGCGGCCUUCUGGACUGACACUGACGCUGAGGUGCGAAAGCGUGGGUAGCAAACAGGAUUAGAUACCCCGGUAGUC